rnacentral:lncRNA from 1 species
CCCCAGCCAGCCAGGAGGCUCCAGGUGGGAGGCACAGGUUCGCUGCUGGCGCCACCGGUGUGGGAGGAGUGACUGGGCUACUCGCCAGUCGCCUCAGGGUUAGCUGAUGUCCUGGUUUCUUCCGGUUGAGCUCUGUAGCUUUCCCUGCUCUGGGCGUGGCCUGAAGCAGCGGUCUUCAGAGAACGCGAGGAAGGAGGCCUGCAGCCAGGGCCUGGGAUACCCUUCAAUGUCCUCAGAGUUUUGAUUCCAAACUUCUUCACCCCUGUGAUUAUGGGGUAUCUCGGGCCCUUUGAAGGAGGUACCACAAGUGCUGGCACAUCAGACUUGCUCCCCUACCUGCACCGGAGCACUGCUGAGACAACAUCCCCUCCAGCGCAACCACAUAGUCAGGACCCAGCCAGUCCAGGUCCUGGAAACAUCAAAAGCAACUGCUGUGUCUGGGCUUACAGAACAUCAUAGGGGCCCCAAAGAGCAAGCAUUUCAGGGCCCCAAGUCGGUAGGCGGAAGCUACCUUGGGGUUUGGACCCACUCCUCGCUGAGACCACUCUCUAGCUUGGCUUACCUGGGCCUUGUCCAGAAGUCCAUACACAGUGAAGAUGUUGGUGUCUGGACGGACCAUGACAGCGUGGGAUGGCAUUUGUGCCAGGUUGCAAGCUUGGAACUGGUCUACCUCAGCCCGUGCCCCAUUGGGGCACAGUAGUUCAUAGUCUUGCCACCUGAGGUGAGAAGCCCAAGGCUCAGGAUUGUGACCUGAGGGACAUCAUGGGGUGGGAAGAAGGGGAAGAGAAAUCCAUGAGAUCCUUCACUGGGAAGAGGUGGUGAUAUCCGGACAGCAUCCCAAGCUGUGGUCUCGGCUGUCACAGGAGGGACAGGGCCCAACUAGCUGAAUGUGACAUUGAAGACUCAGUAGGACAGGCAUGGUUACCGCCCCUGCUUAUAACACAGGGUGGGGGUGAGGUGGGGACUAUCACCCCCACCUUACAACCCUUUACAAUUACAAAACCAGGGAGGGCUCUUAAUAAAGUUGCUUUUGUU